rfam:Triticum aestivum genome assembly, contig: Triticum_aestivum_CS42_TGACv1_scaffold_063237_1DL
GAAAUACUCCCUCCGUCCCGAAAUUCUUGUCUUAGAUUUGUCUAAAUAUGGAUGUAUCAUGGUAUUAGAUACAUCCGUAUCUAUACUAAUCUAAGACAAGAAUUUCUGGACGGAGGGAGUAUAAG